rnacentral:misc_RNA from 1 species
AAUACCUAAAUUACAUAGGUAUUUCCACUUAUCCUUCCUGCAUCAAUUUGGCUGUUUUGACUUGGCUUGAAAAAUCUUGGUUUUCAGUUUGGAAUAGAAUAUAAUGUUAAAAAUAAACUUUCAUGCUGGUCUUGCAGAGACUGAAUCUGUGUCAGUUAAUGUGUUGGAGAAGAAGGUAACUCUUAUUUGUAGAUAUCCUGGUGUUAAAGU